rfam:Salmo salar isolate Sally breed double haploid chromosome ssa06, whole genome shotgun sequence.
GACCCACUGGACUGUAAGUUGCUUUGGAUAAAAGUGUCUGCUAAAUGUCACUUU